rnacentral:rRNA from 1 species
AUGAACGCUGGCGGCGUGCCUAAUACAUGCAAGUCGAGCGAACAGACGAGGAGCUUGCUCCUCUGACGUUAGCGGCGGACGGGUGAGUAACACGUGGAUAACCUACCUAUAAGACUGGGAUAACUUCGGGAAACCGGAGCUAAUACCGGAUAAUAUAUUGAACCGCAUGGUUCAAUAGUGAAAGACGGUUUUGCUGUCACUUAUAGAUGGAUCCGCGCCGCAUUAGCUAGUUGGUAAGGUAACGGCUUACCAAGGCAACGAUGCGUAGCCGACCUGAGAGGGUGAUGGGCCACAGGGGAACGGGAACAGGGACAGGACUCAUAGGGGGGGAGGAGGGGGGAAGUCUUCAGCAAGGGGAGAAGGCGAGAGGGAGAAGCGCGGCGGGAGUAAUGAAGGUUUGGGGAUCAAAAAACUCUGUUAUGAGGAAAAAAAAAUUGUGAAAGUAAAUGUACGGGUCUGGAGGAUCCCUAAUAAGAAGACCGGGACAAACCAGGUG